rnacentral:lncRNA from 1 species
AGCUGCUGUGUGGGGCAGCAGGAGCCGCAAGGGCAGCUGCGAGGCAGUGGCACCUUUGUCCUGAGCAGUGGGUGAAUGCCCGGUGUGGGCCUCGGUGUUGCCUCCCCAAGGUCGCGGUGAGACCGUGCAGCACUGCCCAGCUGCCCUGCUGGGUCCUAUCUUCUUGCCCUCCUGUGUAGGACACCUGCAGGCCACUUGCCGCCUCCUGAGGACAAGGUGGGCUUCCCCAGUGCAGGUCUCUACAGUGGUCCCUGGCAGAGCUGUGACAGGGCAACUCUCCCGGUGGGCACCUCGUCUUCCCUUCCCUGGGAACCUCCCUUUGCCCCGACUUCUGAGCGCUAUGCUUUCCAGGUCCUACCUGGGAGCACCGCGAACACCCCUGGCAGAGAGGCCACUCACGCCCUGCUCCUGCUCCUCAGUCUGCACGACCUCCAGCCUAAGUGUCCUCUCUGCAUCCUGUGCCUUGAGUCCUGGCCGGAUGGAGUGGCCAAGCCAGGAGACCUCCCUGCCCAUAAAAGAUGCCUGCACUAAGACUUCCCCAGCCAGGAGAAGGAUCAGAAGCAGUCAAGUCCAGGGCACAGUUUUCUUUGUGAAGGCUGGGACAGUGACCCCAACAGCGCUGGACUUCGCCCAGAUUACACGGGCAGAGGCCUGAGGAGUUCCGCCCUCCCUGGGUUCCUGGCCCCCUGCUGUCCAGCGCACUUGGCCCUUCACAACUGAGGGAAGAGGGCAUGAUGGAAAAGCAGUGGCUUGGCCCAGGGCAACGGCCUGUGGUCAGGCAUCCUGGACUUCACUGGUCCAGUUGGAAUCACGAGGGUAAUAACAGCCACCAUUCGCUGGGAACUUAGCCCGUGCCGUGCCGCCCACAUCCUCUCACUGCUUCCUCCUAGCUGUAGGGGGAAGCUGUGGUUCAUCUCACUGGGGUGUGGGGCUCUAUGGGGCAAAGGAGCUUUCCAGGAUGAUCUGGGUUGAUAAGGCAGGUACUGGUUGGGAGCG